GAUGAACGCUGGCGGCGUGCCUAAUACAUGCAAGUCGAGCGAACAGACGAGGAGCUUGCUCCUCUGACGUUAGCGGCGGACGGGUGAGUAACACGUGGAUAACCUACCUAUAAGACUGGGAUAACUUCGGGAAACCGGAGCUAAUACCGGAUAAUAUAUUGAACCGCAUGGUUCAAUAGUGAAAGACGGUUUUGCUGUCACUUAUAGAUGGAUCCGCGCCGCAUUAGCUAGUUGGUAAGGUAACGGCUUACCAAGGCAACGAUGCGUAGCCGACCUGAGAGGGUGAUGGGCCACAGUGGAACUGAGACACGGUCCAGACUCCUACGGGAGGCAGCAGUAGGGAAUCUUCCGCAAUGGGCGAAAGCCUGACGGAGCAACGCCGCGUGAGUGAUGAAGGUCUUCGGAUCGUAAAACUCUGUUAUUAGGGAAGAACAAAUGUGUAAGUAACUAUGCACGUCUUGACGGUACCUAAUCAGAAAGCCACGGCUAACUACGU
rnacentral:rRNA from 1 species